CUUCCUUGAAAUGAAGAUACUUGAAUUUAAGGAUUACAAAUUAUUGUAGUAGUUUUUGUUUUCAGUCUACACUAUUAAAAGUAUAACAUAUACUUAUUUAAUCAUCUUUAGUUGUGGAAUUAGCAAUUACAUGAAUCGUUUUAGAAGGAUGCAUUAAAUAACAUUUCGGUGAGUCAUUUCUUAUUUUCAUUUUAUUUAUUUAUUUAUUUAUUUAUUUAUUUUUGUAUCAGGGAUUGAACUCAGGACCUUGCGCUUGCGAGGCAGGGAAUGGAACCACUGAGCUAAAUCCCUGGAUUUAGCCUCCUGCUUCUUAUUUUUAUUUUAAAGGACAGUAAUUCAUUAUAAUUAAUUGUGUGGAGUUAAUCCAUUCUUAAAAAGACAGGGUAUGAAGCUCAGACUGGCUAUAUAUCUCAGACUGGCCCACUCACUAUGCAGUCCAGGCUGACCUGGAACUCAAGGCGAUCUUCCUGCCUUUGCCUCUGAGUACCUGGGAUUACAGGCUUUGGAAGGUCAGUCCUCCACAGUGAUCUGCAGCAGAUUGCCUUGCUGUUUGGCACCUCACAUGGGGCACCAUUGUCACAGCAACAGUGGGGUGCUGUAGUUUGGAUCUUAAAUGCCCCCCAAAGGACUGUUUGUCAGGAUGGUACUAACGGAAGAUGGUGGAAACCCUUAGAGACAUGAGGUGAAUGAGCCUCCUCCGCCACAUGCUUCUGCCAUGAUGUGCUGGCCACAGGGCCAAAACAAUGAGGUAAAUCAGUCAUAGGUGGAACUUGAGAAAGUAGGAGCCCAAAUAAACUUUUUAUAUUAAUUUGAUUUAUUUCAAGUUUAGUUACAGUUAUGGAAAGCUGACCAGUUUGGGAGAGAUGGUAGAAGUGGCUUACUUCAUUUUCCCUACAAUUGGAGCUCCACUGUUCAGAGAUCAACAUUGCUAAUAUAGUGAGUGGUACCUUGGUUCAUGAACUAUUCAUUCCAUGAUUCUGGAAAAGAUGGCUACGUUGGUGUUCAUUUGGGAAAGAUGGCCAUGGUUGUGUUUGUCACUUAUUGUAGAGUUACCUAAUAAAAACAAAAUUUUGCCAAAUGCUUUUGUUUCUGAACCAAAUUGUUCCCAAACAAAAGCAUUCGCAAACUGAGGUACCACUGUAUUUUGAUGACAUUUCUUCCAGUAAGUAUAUUUUUUUAAUGAAUACAUGUACACAAUUGGAAUCUACAUAUAGUUUAAUAGAUAGCUUUUUUCAGUAUCACUGUGAGAGCUUCCCAAAUAUCAAAAUAGGAAGUAAAAUAUUUUAAAUUUGAUUGCAAAGUGUUAUAUAUUAUUAAAAUGUUGGAAAAAGAAAAUCAUAAACAAUAAAAUACACAGUCCUACCACCCAGAAAUCACAUUUUUGUGUAUACCUUCUAA
rnacentral:lncRNA from 1 species